UUUUACCGAUGAUGAGUUGCGGAAAUGAUUGCCUACAUUGUUUGACUGACCUGUGAGAAAACUUGCAACAUCUGAGGAUGCA
rfam:Oryza brachyantha chromosome 3, whole genome shotgun sequence.